rnacentral:rRNA from 1 species
AGUGAACGCUGGCGGUAGGCCUAACACAUGCAAGUCGAACGGCAGCACAGUAAGAGCUUGCUCUUACGGGUGGCGAGUGGCGGACGGGUGAGGAAUACAUCGGAAUCUACUUUUUCGUGGGGGAUAACGUAGGGAAACUUACGCUAAUACCGCAUACGACCUACGGGUGAAAGCAAGGGAUCUUCGGACCUUGCGCGAUUGAAUGAGACGAUGUCGGAUUAGCUAGUUGGCGGGGUAAAGGCCCACCAAGGCGACGAUCCGUAGCUGGUCUGAGAGGAUGAUCAGCCACACUGGAACUGAGACACGGUCCAGACUCCUACGGGAGGCAGCAGUGGGGAAUCAUGGACAAUGGGCGGAAGCCUGAUCCAGCCAUACCGCGUGGGUGAAGAAGGCCUUCGGGUUGUAAAGCCCUUUUGUUGGGAAAGAAAAGCAGCAGGUUAAUACCCCGCUGUUCUGACGGUACCCAAAGAAUAAGCACCGGCUAACUUCGUG